AUUGAACGCUGGCGGCAGGCCUAACACAUGCAAGUCGAGCGGAUGAAGGGAGCUUGCUCCUGGAUUCAGCGGCGGACGGGUGAGUAAUGCCUAGGAAUCUGCCUGGUAGUGGGGGAUAACGUCCGGAAACGGGCGCUAAUACCGCAUACGUCCUGAGGGAGAAAGUGGGGGAUCUUCGGACCUCACGCUAUCAGAUGAGCCUAGGUCGGAUUAGCUAGUUGGUGGGUAAAGGCCUACCAAGGCGACGAUCCGUAACUGGUCUGAGAGGAUGAUCAGUCACACUGGAACUGAGACACGGUCCAGACUCCUACGGGAGGCAGCAGUGGGGAAUAUUGGACAAUGGGCGAAAGCCUGAUCCAGCCAUGCCGCGUGUGUGAAGAAGGUCUUCGGAUUGUAAAGCACUUUAAGUUGGGAGGAAGGGCAGUAAGUUAAUACCUUGCUGUUUUGACGGUACCAACAGAAUAAGCACCGGCUAACUUCGUG
rnacentral:rRNA from 1 species